AGCGAACGCUGGCGGCAGGCCUAACACAUGCAAGUCGAACGGACCCUUCGGGGUUAGUGGCGGACGGGUGAGUAACACGUGGGAACGGGCCCUUAGGUUCGGAAUAGCUCCUGGAAACGGGUGGUAAUGCCGAAUGUGCCCUUCGGGGGAAAGAUUUAUCGCCUUUAGAGCGGCCCGCGUCUGAUUAGCUAGUUGGUGAGGUAAUGGCUCACCAAGGCGACGAUCAGUAGCUGGUCUGAGAGGAUGACCAGCCACACUGGGACUGAGACACGGCCCAGACUCCUACGGGAGGCAGCAGUGGGGAAUCUUGCGCAAUGGGCGAAAGCCUGACGGAGCCAUGCCGCGUGAAUGAUGAAGGUCUUAGGAUUGUAAAAUUCUUUCACCGGGGACGAUAAUGACGGUACCCGGAGAAGAAGCCCCGGCUAACUUCGUG
rnacentral:rRNA from 1 species